rnacentral:tRNA from 1 species
UCCCUAGUGGUCCAGUGGUUAAGACUCUGCUUUUCCACAGCAGGGGGCACAAGUUUGACUCUUGGUCAGGGAG